rnacentral:lncRNA from 1 species
AGGGGGGGGCACGCAGAACCCCGUGUGGCGUGGUGACAGCGUUGUGUGGCCCCUGUCCCUCCCCCCAGACCUGGUGCCGCGGGACGUGGUGGCCGCGUGGCUGAAGUAUCUCCGCGCCGAGUUCCCCACCGUGGCCUUCAAGGCGUCCACGCAGCAGCAGAGCCGCAACCUGAAGCAGAGCCGGGUCCCGGUGACAGCAGCCCCGGAGGAGGUGUUGGCCGGCAGUGGUUGUGUGGGAGCCGACUGUUUGCUGCGGGUGUUGGCCAACUACAGCCGCUCACAGGAGGUGAAGACGGCCAUCACUGUGGGCGUCGUGGGGUACCCUAAUGUGGGUAAGAGCAGCCUCAUCAACAGCCUCAAGCGGAGCCGGGUGUGCGUGGUCGGGGCAGUGCCAGGGGUCACCAGAUGCCUGCAGACGGUGCAGCUGGACCGCCACAUCCAGCUCUUGGAUUGCCCCGGCGUCGUCAUGGAGACGGGAGCCCCCACCGCCGCUGCCCCACUCCGGGGGGCUCUGGCCCCACAGCGCCUGCGGGACCCCCUGGGCCCUGCUGCUGCCAUCCUGCGGCGCUGCCCCCCCGAGCAGGUGGAUUCAGCCCUAUUGUAAUCAGACCUGGGGGGGGCUCAACCCUAUUUUGGGGGGGGUUGGGGGCCUCUGGGAGGGCUUGGGGUGUCUGAGGGGCUCUCAGCACCAUUGCUGUGGGGUUUGAAGGUGUCUGGGUGUUCUCAGCUGCACUGCUGUGGGGCUUAGGGGUGUCUGGGGGGGCCUCAGUGUCAUUGCUGUUAGGCUUGGGGAUGUUUU